rnacentral:lncRNA from 1 species
UGAUAAUAAAGUUCAUUCUUCAUUCCGUAACAGCCAUGGAUACACUUGAGGUAAUUUCUGAGCUUCGGGAGAAGUUGGAUCUGCAGCAUUGUGUUUUGCCAUCACGGUUACAGGCUUCCCAAGUAAAGUUGAAAAGUAAAGGACGAGCAAGUUCCUCAGGAAAUCAAGAAAGCAGCGGUCAGAGCUGUAUUAUUCUCCUCUUUGAUGUAAUAAAGUCAGCUAUUAGAUAUGAGAAAACCAUUUCAGAAGCCUGGAUUAAGGCAAUUGAAAACACUGCCUCAGUAUCUGAACACAAGGUCUGCAUUGUCUUCAUUGUUAUCUUUAAUGACUGUAUUCUGGUCUAAUAACUCAGUUUUGGUGUCCUAAGAAGUGGAGCAUUCAGUUAAGAUAAGUAGUAAAAUUUUUUUUGUUUUUUCUUGUUUGUCCUGCUUGCCUUUUUAACUGUUUUUUUUUUUUUCCUGGAAGCAUAGACUCAGGUUGCCCUGAAUACACGCCCAAUGUUUUCUCUUUUUUUGUUUUGUUUUGUUUUUGUUUUUGUUUUUGAGACGGGUUCUCACUCUGUCACCUAGGCUGGACUGCACUGGCGUGAUCUCGGCUCACUGCAAGCUCCGCCUCCUGGGUUCACGCCAUUCUCCCGCUUCAGCCUCCCAAGUAGCUGGGACUACAGGCACCUGCCACCACGCCCGGCUAAUUUUUUGUAUUUUUAGUGGAAAUGGGGCUUCAUCAUGUUAGCCAGGAUGGUCUCAAUCUCCUGACCUCAUGAUCUGCCCGCCUCGGCCUCCCAAAGUGCUGGGAUUAUAGGCGUGAGCCACCAUGCCUAGCAUGGCUUAUUCUUCCUGAUGACUGUGUAAUAUUCCAAAAAUUAAAAUUACUCCAUCAUAAUUUAUUGAACCUUUCCUGUAUUGAUGUAUUGAUGGGCAUUUAUAGUCUUUCCAACUUUUCACAAAGUAAUUUUCCUUUUUUUUUUUUUUUUUUGAGACAAAGUCUUGCUCUGUCACCUAGGCUCGAGUGCAGUGGCUCGAUCUCGGCUCACUGCAACCUCUGUCACCCGGGUUCAAGCGAUUCUCCUGUCUCAGCUUCCCAAGUAGGUGGGAUUACAGGUGUUUGACCUGGUGAUGCUUUUCAUCAUCUAUAGCACCAAUACUCAGACAAAGAAGUACAUUGACAGGGUGCUAAGAAAUAAGAUUCGAUCAGGCUGCAUUCAAGAACAGCUGCUCCAGAGUACAUUCUCUGUUCAUUACUUAGUUCUUAAGGAUAUGUGUUCAUCCAUUCUGUCGCUGGCUCAGAGUUUGCUUCACUCUCUAGACCAGAGUAUAAUUUCAUUUGGCAGUCUCCUAUACAAAUAUGCAUUUAAGUUUUUUGACACGUACUGCCAGCAGGUAUGUUG